UAGGGAAUCUUCCGCAAUGGGCGAAAGCCUGACGGAGCAACGCCGCGUGAGUGAUGAAGGUCUUCGGAUCGUAAAACUCUGUUGUUAGGGAAGAACAAAUUUGUUAGUAACUGAACAAGUCUUGACGGUACCUAACCAGAAAGCCACGGCUAACUACGUGCCAGCAGCCGCGGUAAUACGUAGGUGGCAAGCGUUAUCCGGAAUUAUUGGGCGUAAAGCGCGCGUAGGCGGUUUCUUAAGUCUGAUGUGAAAGCCCACGGCUCAACCGUGGAGGGUCAUUGGAAACUGGGAAACUUGAGUGCAGAAGAGGAGAGUGGAAUUCCAUGUGUAGCGGUGAAAUGCGCAGAGAUAUGGAGGAACACCAGUGGCGAAGGCGGCUCUCUGGUCUGUAACUGACGCUGAUGUGCGAAAGCGUGGGGAUCAAACA
rnacentral:rRNA from 1 species